rnacentral:rRNA from 1 species
GGGUUGUGAGGUUAAGCGACUAAGCGUACACGGUGGAUGCCCUGGCAGUCAGAGGCGAUGAAGGACGUGCUAAACUGCGAAAAGCGCCGGCGAGGUGAUAUGAACCUUUGACCCGGCGAUGUCCGAAUGGGGAAACCCAGUGCAAUCCGUUGCACUAUCGUUAACUGAAUACAUAGGUUAACGAGGCGAACCGGGGGAACUGAAACAUCUAAGUACCCCGAGGAAAAGAAAUCAACCGAGAUUCCCCCAGUAGCGGCGAGCGAACGGGGAGCAGCCCGGAGUCUGAAUCAGCUUGUGUGUUAGUGGAACGGUCUGGAAAGUCCGACGGUACAGGGUGAUAGUCCCGUACACGAAAGCACACAUGCUGUGAACUCGAAGAGUAGGGCGGGACACGUGGUAUCCUGUCUGAAUAUGGGGGGACCAUCCUCCAAGGCUAAAUACUCCUGACUGACCGAUAGUGAACCAGUACCGUGAGGGAAAGGCGAAAAGAACCCCGGCGAGGGGAGUGAAAAAGAACCUGAAACCGUGUACGUACAAGCAGUGGGAGCCUCUUUAUGGGGUGACUGCGUACCUUUUGUAUAAUGGGUCAGCGACUUAUAUUCUGUAGCAAGGUUAACCGUAUAGGGGAGCCGAAGGGAAACCGAGUCUUAACUGGGCGUUAAGUUGCAGGGUAUAGACCCGAAACCCGGUGAUCUAGCCAUGGGCAGGUUGAAGGUUGGGUAACACUAACUGGAGGACCGAACCGACUAAUGUUGAAAAAUUAGCGGAUGACCUGUGGCUGGGGGUGAAAGGCCAAUCAAACCGGGAGAUAGCUGGUUCUCCCCGAAAGCUAUUUAGGUAGCGCCUCGUGAACUCAUCUUCGGGGGUAGAGCACUGUUUCGGCUAGGGGGCCAUCCCGGCUUACCAACCCGAUGCAAACUACGAAUACCGAAGAAUGUUAUCACGGGAGACACACGGCGGGUGCUAACGUCCGUCGUGAAGAGGGAAACAACCCAGACCGCCAGCUAAGGUCCCAAAGUCAUGGUUAAGUGGGAAACGAUGUGGGAAGGCACAGACAGCCAGGAUGUUGGCUUAGAAGCAGCCAUCAUUUAAAGAAAGCGUAAUAGCUCACUGGUCGAGUCGGCCUGCGCGGAAGAUGUAACGGGGCUAAACCAUGCACCGAAGCUGCGGCAGCGACACUAUGUGUUGUUGGGUAGGGGAGCGUUCUGUAAGCCGUUGAAGGUGUCCUGUGAGGGGUGCUGGAGGUAUCAGAAGUGCGAAUGCUGACAUAAGUAACGAUAAAGCGGGUGAAAAGCCCGCUCGCCGGAAGACCAAGGGUUCCUGUCCAACGUUAAUCGGGGCAGGGUGAGUCGACCCCUAAGGCGAGGCCGAAAGGCGUAGUCGAUGGGAAACAGGUUAAUAUUCCUGUACUUGGUGUUACUGCGAAGGGGGGACGGAGAAGGCUAUGUCAGCCGGGCGACGGUUGUCCCGGUUUAAGCAUGUAGGCGGAGGUUCCAGGUAAAUCCGGUACCUUAUUAACGCUGAGGUGUGAUGACGAGGCACUACGGUGCUGAAGUGAUAAAUGCCCUGCUUCCAGGAAAAGCCUCUAAGCAUCAGGUAACACGAAAUCGUACCCCAAACCGACACAGGUGGUCAGGUAGAGAAUACCAAGGCGCUUGAGAGAACUCGGGUGAAGGAACUAGGCAAAAUGGUGCCGUAACUUCGGGAGAAGGCACGCUGAUGUGUAGGUGAAGUCCCUGCGGACGGAGCUGAAAUCAGUCGAAGAUACCAGCUGGCUGCAACUGUUUAUUAAAAACACAGCACUGUGCAAACACGAAAGUGGACGUAUACGGUGUGACGCCUGCCCGGUGCCGGAAGGUUAAUUGAUGGGGUUAGCGGCAACGCGAAGCUCUUGAUCGAAGCCCCGGUAAACGGCGGCCGUAACUAUAACGGUCCUAAGGUAGCGAAAUUCCUUGUCGGGUAAGUUCCGACCUGCACGAAUGGCGUAAUGAUGGCCAGGCUGUCUCCACCCGAGACUCAGUGAAAUUGAACUCGCUGUGAAGAUGCAGUGUACCCGCGGCAAGACGGAAAGACCCCGUGAACCUUUACUAUAGCUUGACACUGAACACUGGUCCUUGAUGUGUAGGAUAGGUGGGAGGCUUUGAAGCGUGGACGCCAGUCUGCGUGGAGCCAACCUUGAAAUACCACCCUUUAAUGGCUGGUGUUCUAACGUAGACCCGUGAUCCGGGUUGCGGACAGUGUCUGGUGGGUAGUUUGACUGGGGCGGUCUCCUCCCAAAGAGUAACGGAGGAGCACGAAGGUUGGCUAAUCCUGGUCGGACAUCAGGAGGUUAGUGCAAUGGCAUAAGCCAGCUUGACUGCGAGCGUGACGGCGCGAGCAGGUGCGAAAGCAGGUCAUAGUGAUCCGGUGGUUCUGAAUGGAAGGGCCAUCGCUCAACGGAUAAAAGGUACUCCGGGGAUAACAGGCUGAUACCGCCCAAGAGUUCAUAUCGACGGCGGUGUUUGGCACCUCGAUGUCGGCUCAUCACAUCCUGGGGCUGAAGUAGGUCCCAAGGGUAUGGCUGUUCGCCAUUUAAAGUGGUACGCGAGCUGGGUUUAGAACGUCGUGAGACAGUUCGGUCCCUAUCUGCCGUGGGCGCUGGAGAAUUGAGGGGGGCUGCUCCUAGUACGAGAGGACCGGAGUGGACGCAUCACUGGUGUUCGGGUUGUCAUGCCAAUGGCACUGCCCGGUAGCUAAAUGCGGAAAAGAUAAGUGCUGAAAGCAUCUAAGCACGAAACUUGCCCCGAGAUGAGUUCUCCCUGAGACCUUGAGUCUCCUGAAGGAACGUUGAAGACGACGACGUUGAUAGGUCGGGUGUGUAAGCGCAGCGAUGCGUUGAGCUAACCGAUACUAAUGAACCGUGAGGCUUAACCUUACAACGCCGAAGGUGUUU